GGGGAAGAGGGUGUUUAUUCUUUCCAAGCUUAUUUGCAAGAGAGCUGUGGUGGAAGCACAGGACAGGAGGCAAAGGAGACCUGGGAUCCAGGAUUAACUCACUGAGCCCUGUGGCUUCUGGUUUUUAAUCACCCACACUUCCUGACCAUUAGGACACUGAAAGUUUCUACAUGCUGAGGAGCAAACUGGGAAAACACAUUCUAUAAGAGAUUGUACCUCUGAACAGAUGCAAUUGACGCAGUAAACCAACCCGUAAGGUUCCAGG